rnacentral:rRNA from 1 species
CAGCCGCCGCGGGAAUACGGAGGGUGCAAGCGUUAAUCGGAAUUACUGGGCGUAAAGCGUGCGUAGGCGGUUCGUUAAGUCUGUUGUGAAAGCCCCGGGCUCAACCUGGGAAUGGCAAUGGAUACUGGGUCACUAGAGUGUGGUAGAGGAUAGUGGAAUUUCCGGUGUAGCAGUGAAAUGCGUAGAGAUCGGAAGGAACAUCUGUGGCGAAGGCGACUAUCUGGGCCAACACUGACACUGAGGCACGAAAGCGUGGGGAGCAAACAGGAUUAGAUACCCCUGUAGUCCCUGUCUCUUAUAC